GAUGAACGCUGGCGGCGUGCCUAAUACAUGCAAGUCGAGCGAACAGACGAGGAGCUUGCUCCUCUGACGUUAGCGGCGGACGGGUGAGUAACACGUGGAUAACCUACCUAUCAGACUGGGAUAACUUCGGGAAACCGGAGCUAAUACCGGAUAAUAUAUUGAACCGCAUGGUUCAAUAGUGAAAGACGGUUUUGCUGUCACUUAUAGAUGGAUCCGCGCCGCAUUAGCUAGUUGGUAAGGUAACGGCUUACCAAGGCAACGAUGCGUAGCCGACCUGAGAGGGUGGUCGGCCACACGGGAAGUGAGACACGGUCCAGACUCCUACGGGAGGCAGCAGUAGGGAAUCUUCCGCAAUGGGGGAGAGCCUGACGGAGCAACGCCGCGUGAGUGAUGAAGGUCUUCGGAUCGUAAAGCUCUGUUAUUAGGGAAGAACAAAUGUGUAAGUAACUGUGCACGUCUUGACGGUACCGAGUCAGAAAGCCACGGCUAACUACGUG
rnacentral:rRNA from 1 species